CCAGAGAACUUUCCAGAGAUGGAUUGGUGCCUUCGGGAACUCUGAGACAGGUGCUGCAUGGCUGUCGUCAGCUCGUGUUGUGAAAUGUUGGGUUAAGUCCCGCAACGAGCGCAACCCUUAUCCUUUGUUGCCAGCGGUCCGGCCGGGAACUCAAAGGAGACUGCCAGUGAUAAACUGGAGGAAGGUGGGGAUGACGUCAAGUCAUCAUGGCCCUUACGAGUAGGGCUACGCACGUGCUACAAUGGCGCAUACAAAGAGAAGCGACCUCGCGAGAGCAAGCGGACCUCAUAAAGUGCGUCGUAGUCCGGAUUGGAGUCUGCAACUCGACUCCAUGAAGUCGGAAUCGCUAGUAAUCGUGGAUCAGAAUGCCACGGUGAAUACGUUCCCGGGCCUUGUACACACCGCCCGUCACACCAUGGGAGUGGGUUGCAAAAGAAGUAGGUAGCUUAACCUUCGGGAGGGCGCUUACCACUUUGUGAUUCAUGACUGGGGUGAAGUCGUAACAAGGUAAGCGUAGUGCU
rnacentral:rRNA from 1 species